GAGUGUAAAUUAGUUCAACCAUUGUGGAUGACAGUGUGGUGAUUCCUCAAAGACCUAGAGGCAGAAAUACCAUUUGACCCAGCAAUCCCAUUACUGGGUAUAUACCCAAAGGAAUAUAAAUCAUUCUGUUAUAGAGAUACGUGCAUGUGUAUGUUCACUGCAGCACUAUUCACAAUUCCAAAGACAUGGAAUCAACCCAAAUGCCCAUCAAUGAUAGACUGGUUUCAGAUAUUUCCUAGCCUCCCUGAGAGCCAGGAACCCUGAAGAAUAUUCUGCGUCUCUUCUUUUUUCAGUCUAUUGAAGGCACUCAAUAAAAAUUAUUCGACUAUCACUGUGAAGCUAUUGUGUUUGGGGGGCACAGAAACUAAUUCCUGCCUGUUCCCUAAUGAAGCGGGUUGAUCCUGGAGCACACUAUAGUUUUCAUGUGUUAUCUACUACGUGUCAGUCCUCCUAUUUCUUUUCAAAUAUUGCAACAACUCUAUGAAGUGAGUAUCAUUAUUCCAGUUUUAAAAAUAAGU
rnacentral:lncRNA from 1 species